CCUUGCAGUUGUUGGUUACUCGUGUAAGCUCUGUUCCCUGGCAGCAAGUCACAAGUGCUGUGUUAUUACCCUUUUUGCUGUUGAAUGAGUUGGCGAGUGUUUUACCCGAAGGGGAGCGGGUAACUGCGAAGGAUAUUAUCUAGUUGAGAGCAUCGUGAAUUGCUGUUACAUCGUGUGGGCCAAGGCAAACGUUCAAGAGGAAGCAGUUGUCGAUGGUUGUUGAAACGUCUGAGCUGGACAGUAAAUGUUUGAUGGUCUCCUCUCGGAAGUCUCGCGGCCUGAGUGAUGUACAUAACAAUUCAGUUUGCUGAAGUUUUUCUUUGAGAAGGAAUCCGAUGGACACUAGCGGAACUCUGGCAGGGAACAACACUUGCGGAACGCACUAUAUUGUGAUGCUUAGCGGAUGGCGGAUGGAAAAUGGGUAACGAAAUUUACUUCUGACGAGAGGUUGGAAGGUCUGGCUGCGACUAGGUAGUGGGGAUGUAACCCAGUCUUUUUUUUUCAAGUUUCCUGCAGGCAUAUUGAAAGAGUUUAAGGGCAUUUGAAGAAAUUACUAAAAACUUUGACAGAAUUUAACUUGCUUUCCCUGGAUGUUAAUUCUUCCGUAGUUUGGGGAUGAGGUUGAAAUAGUUUGAAAAAAUACUUUUCAGUUGUACGAGAUUUUAAACGAGAUUUUAAAUUUUUUUGUACCUCUUGAAGGUGAUUCUGAUACUGAUAUCUUAACGUAAUUCCGAUGUACAAUAAAUUUCCAGGUAGUCUUUUUUUUUUUUUUUUUUUUUUUUUUUUUUUUUUUUUUUUUUUUUUUUUUUUUUUUUUUUUUUCCUGUAAAACUUUUAUGUAGCUUUGUGGAUGUGUAACUAGACAAAGACACGAAGAGUAAUCAGG